GCUGAGGUAAGCUCGGUCCCUGUGUUGUCGGAGCAUAGGAAGGACGCUUGCGGGGUGAGGACGCCCCCCACACGUGGCUCGCGGGUUCGUCCCGGAGGCGUGCACGCUGGGGUAGUUAACUUGUAGGCGGAGUGACUAGCCGCUGCUGUUUGAUCCUAGGUUGGCACUGCGGGUCCGUCCCGGGUCCCUAGUCUGGCCAAGCGUGUAGUUGGCGAGUCCCCGGAUAUGCAAGGCUAAAGCACGAGAAGGACAUAGCCCCUCCCCGGCAGGCUAGUCUUAGACAAAGAAACAAGUAAAAGUGGCAUUGGAUAUAUUGAAGCAUGAGCAAAUGAGUUAACAAAUAACACUUGUGGUGAUAAGGAAAAGCUAACAUGAAAAGUUCUAAGACGCCAUUCCCCACUUGCAGGAAAAUAAAAAACAUAAAAACAGACAAUCAUGCGGGAGGUGCUCCCGGGGCGGCUGCGUCGGUGUCAGGUGCAUCCUCGGCAUCGAGGGCUUCUCCGGCAACCUCCUCAGCAGCGGCUUCGUCUUUGUCGACCUUGCGCUGCAUCCGCGCCACCAUCUCGUCCAC
rnacentral:lncRNA from 1 species